GGUUUGGUCCUAGCCUUACUAUUAAUUACAGCUACACUUACACAUGCAAGUCUCAGCACACCCGUGAAAAUGCCCUCUGAAACUAUAAAGUGAUUGAGGAGCGGAUAUCAGGCACAUAUGCCAAAGACAUCUUGUAAAACCACACCCCCAAGGGAACUCAGCAGUGAUAAACAUUGGAAAAUAAGCGACACAAGCUUGAACCAGUAAAGGCUAACAGAGUUGGUAAAUCUCGUGCCAGCCACCGCGGUUAUACGAGAAACUCAAGUUAAUAAAUACGGCUUAAAGGGUGGUUAGAGAACAAUUAUUAAUAGAAUUUAAAACUAGCUCUGCUGUCGCACGCAAUAGGUAAACAGAAACCCAAUAUCGAAAGAAAUUCUAACAAAAUAAACUUGAACCCACUACAGCUAGGAAACAAACUGGGAUUAGAUACCCCACU
rnacentral:rRNA from 1 species